rnacentral:lncRNA from 1 species
AUUUGCAGUUGGAAGCUGUAACCAAACCAGAAAUGCAAACUUCAUCUGAUAGUAGAGCGGAACCCUGAUUUAAAACACAACAUGAAGACAGGUGGCAUUCAUUAGAUUCCAGUACCUCAUCCAAGAAGCAGUACAACAGCUUUUACUUGAAAGUUCCACCAAAUGAAGAAUAAAGAGCAGCUUUAACAUAGUGACAUAGUCAAAUGAUUACACAAAUAUCAAACUAGAUAGUUAAAAGCUGUGCUUACCUCGACCAUUGUUUUCAAAGGAGAAUGCAAUGGUCUGAUUAUACAAAGAAACAAACUCUACAGUUUCAAGUUUAAACAGUUAGCAUGACUUGAAAAAAUCUGUGAUCAAAAAGCUUCAAAAAUCAUCUAGCCAGCACAAGCACAGUGAGAAAAACAAAAAGCAGAACCCCAAUGGAAAAGAUAGGAUGAAGAAACAAAAGAGGGGAAGGGAGAGAAAAGAUAAGAACAAAUAGCUAGCAAUCAGAUUUCAAUUUCAAAUUGAGAGAUCUUCGAAAAAGAGUUAUGCUAUGGUCUGUUUACAUAGCCAAUCCAAAACCAACUCAGAUAACACUCCCCUAAUCAAAUCUGUACCUAACUAUGCCGUGAUCAAGUCUUUUCUUGAAAGGUUAUUGUUCACAUAGUCUGCUUCGUAAGAGAGUAGUUUUAUAUUCAUGUAAGCAAACUGGGAGUGAAUAGAAAACUAGA